AUUGAACGCUGGCGGCAUGCCUUACACAUGCAAGUCGAACGGCAGCACGGGAGCAAUCCUGGUGGCGAGUGGCGAACGGGUGAGUAAUAUAUCGGAACGUGCCCGGUCGUGGGGAUAACGUAGCGAAAGCUACGCUAAUACCGCAUACGAUCUACGGAUGAAAGCGGGGGAUCGCAAGACCUCGCGCGAUUGGAGCGGCCGAUAUCAGAUUAGGUAGUUGGUGAGGUAAAGGCUCACCAAGCCGACGAUCUGUAGCUGGUCUGAGAGGACGACCAGCCACACUGGGACUGAGACACGGCCCAGACUCCUACGGGAGGCAGCAGUGGGGAAUAUUGGACAAUGGGUGCAAGCCUGAUCCAGCCAUCCCGCGUGAAGGACGACGGCCCGUAUGGGUUGUAAACUUCUUUUGUAUAGGGAUAAACCUUUCCACGUGUGGAAAGCUGAAGGUACUAUACGAAUAAGCACCGGCUAACUCCGUGCCAGCAGCCG
rnacentral:rRNA from 1 species